ensembl:snRNA U6 U6 spliceosomal RNA
GUGCUCACUUUAGCAGCACAUAUACUAAAAUUGGAACAAUACAGAGAAGAUGAGCAUUGUCCCUGUGCAAGGAUGACACACUAAUUUGUGAAAUGUUCUAUAAAACA